CCUCUUGACAUGCACACUUUCAAUAACUACAUACGAAACUCAUGAUUUACGAUGGUCCAAAUAGGUCCGACCGACCCUGAUCUUAUGUGAAGGGUUCAAGUGAUAGCAUACCUACCGGGACACGAAAGAUGGUGAACUAUGCUUGAGCAGGGUGAAGCCAGAGGAAAAUCUGGUGGAGGCCUGCAACGACAUUAACGUGCAAAUCGUUCGUCUAACUUAGGUACAGGGGCGUAAGACUAAUCGAAUCGUCUAGUAGCUAGUUCCCUUCGAAGUUUCCCUUAGGAUAGCUGGAGCCCAAUGGUGAUUUGUAUCAGGUAAAACCAAUGAUUAGAGGCAUCAGGGGCGCAAUGCCCUCGACCUAUUCUCAAACGUUUAAUAGGUAGGAUGGUGUGGCUGCUUUGUUGUCGAGAUCACAUUUUUUUACGCAAAUGAGUUCUUAAUUUGCUUACACUUUUGGCAAGUGUCGCAAGUUUCUUUAGAUUUGAAAUUAAGUUUUGGUAGACCAACAAAUAAAUCUAGAGAUGACAAUUUAUCUAAGUGUUUAAUAUGUAUGUGCACAACGCACCUAUGCUAAAGCCAGAUGUCAUUCUCUCUAGAGAAUAAUGUAGUG
rnacentral:rRNA from 1 species